AGCUUUGUGAAUCCGUCCAGAGAUUUCAUCAGACAACGAUCCAUUAGGACUGAUUAAACUUCCAAGAUAAGUGAAACU
rfam:Schistosoma haematobium scaffold3501_1, whole genome shotgun sequence.